GAAAAAUUUCCGAAACAUGUUUAUUAACCCUUUAUUCCGACGUGUCCUGAAAUUUAAAGCAAGAAUGGCACCUGUCGAAUGUUUGUAACGUCUGAAAAUUGUUGUCAUAACGUCCAAAAAAAUACUAUUAUACCUUCGAUAUCUCUAGAAUCCAUCUCCUUUCAAAUUAUAAUAACUGUUUCAGCAAAACAUCACAGUAAAAUUCGCAGGGUCAAUGCUAUCGAAAAUUGUUUUAGAUAUUCGCAUAUCAGCCCCACGCACCACGCAAAUAGAACUAAUAUGCCUCUAUUUACAGCGAAGGGUCGCUGUGUGCGGUACAAUAUUCAUCAGUCACCGCCACCGGAUGUUUGGUCAUUGAUAUGAAAAGAUGUUUGCCCCUUCUAAGAUAUCGACUACCCAAAGACGGCACCGCCAAGUACAACAGAUUGCUGGUUGCGGUUUUUCGAAAAACUUCUCUCGUGUUGAACCAACUACCCGACCGAUUGCAGUCACUUUGCAUUGAAUCGUGAAAGAGAGAACUGAAUUUGGUGAAGGUUGGCAUCAGAUUGCGAAGUUCAUAUAGAAAAUAUUAAACUGUUCAAGCAACAACAUGAAGUGGAGUCGUAUUUUCAAAUCAACCAAAUCAUUCGAUAAACCUGUUGCUAUGAAAUCACCUCUUCGGAAACCAUGUUGCAGGAAAUGUGCUCUUGCCUGCAAGUGCAAACACCACAAACGUAUUCUGCGAACCGUCCCUAUCAACCACUUCACGGAUGGGAUCUUACCGUAAUAUGAUAGUUUGAUGAGUAUGUAAUAAAGUUUAACAAAUAAAAAUUGCGAAUGAUGUAAUUACUUUGAA